UACGGCCACUUCACGUUGAAACACCGGCUCCCGUACGAUUGCCGAAGUUAAGCAACCUCGAGCCUGGUCAGCACAAAGAUUGGUGACCACUGGGAAUGCU